rnacentral:rRNA from 1 species
UACGGAGGGUGCAAGCGUUAUCCGGAUUUACUGGGCUUAAAGGGUGCGUAGGUGGGUUGGUAAGUCAGUGGUGAAAUCUCCAGGCUUAACUUGGAAACUGCCAUUGAUACUAUCAAUCUUGAAUACCGUGGAGGUCAGCGGAAUAUGUCAUGUAGCGGUGAAAUGCUUAGAUAUGACAUAGAACACCAAUUGCGAAGGCAGCUGGCUACACGAAUAUUGACACUGAUGCACGAAAGCGUGGGGAUCAAACAGG